rnacentral:rRNA from 1 species
GAUGAACGCUGGCGGCGUGCUUAACACAUGCAAGUCGAACGAUGAAGCCCAGCUUGCUGGGUGGAUUAGUGGCGAACGGGUGAGUAACACGUGAGUAACCUGCCCUUAACUCUGGGAUAAGCCUGGGAAACUGGGUCUAAUACCGGAUAGGAGCGUCCACCGCAUGGUGGGUGUUGGAAAGAUUUAUCGGUUUUGGAUGGACUCGCGGCCUAUCAGCUUGUUGGUGAGGUAAUGGCUCACCAAGGCGACGACGGGUAGCCGGCCUGAGAGGGUGACCGGCCACACUAGGACUGAGACACGGCGCAGACUCCUACGGGAGGCAGCAGUGGGGAAUAUUGCACAAUGGGCGCAAGCCUGAUGCAGAGACGCCGCGUGAGGGAUGACGGCCUUCGGGUUAUAAACCUCUUUCAGUAGGGAAGAAGCGAAAGUGACGGUACCUGAAGAAGAAGCACCGGCUAACUACGUG